AGAGGUUGGGAGAGAGAAGGAACUCACGUUAGGAGGGAGCUCAAGGAAUAGGAUGUACUCAAUACUGGAAGCGGACGGUGGGCAGAGGUCAAGGAAACAGGUUUAGAGAAGUGAAACCCUGCACUAUCACGGCUCUCAGCCUAUCAGUGACGUGAACCCAAGGGCAUCUGGAGUCAGUUUCUUUAGCAAACAGCUGUCUUGGACUCACUCAGCAUGCUGGCUGCAGGAAUUAAAUACGUGUUCUUCAACUUUGCUGAAAACUUUAAGAAUACACCCGAGCUCACAGCUGAACGACCCCGCCUUUCCUUUUAAUGUAAGCACAGCUGAGUAAACAGAACUGUUGCAAGGGAGCUCAGGGGCUUUUUACUAAUAACAGCAGCCGGCAUCUGUUGAGCCCUAAUGAUUUUCACACAGUAUCUCAUCUAAUUCUGCAAGCAACAAUCUCCUUAUCCCUGUUUCACAGGGGAGGACACUGCAGCCAAGGGUACCACCAUCUAAGGAAACAGCCACCAAGCCAUCAGACAUGCUCUGCACAGGUGUACCUGGCUUCAAGCACUGGGAAUUAAUUAAUUUGUGCACUACAGUGUUUUGGAUAUAAGUGCAUUAAAAGUGGGAGACACAUCAUUCUCUACUUAAACAUACAGAAGCCUCUAGAAAUAAAGCCAAGCAAAAGGUUUAGAAUCUACGACUAUCUCGCCCACAGAAACAGUACACGCAUGGGCUGCUAUUUGGUCCACAAGGACCUUUAUAUCCUAGGAUGCUGGCUGGAAUGCUGUGGAUGCAGGUGCACAGGCCUGUGGGGCAGGAGAACAUGUGUCGGGAGUCCUCUUCCAGGUUCAAGAGUGUUCGACCUCACAAACCAGUCACCUCCCCAAGACCUCAUCGUGACACUGUGGAAUUCAGCGUGCGAGUCGGGUAGAGGGACACAAACAUUCAGACAUUGGGACAGGGGAGUACAUGGAAGGAUGCUGGACGCUCUGAUAGUCCCUCUUGAGAAGGGUGAUGUGAACCCAAGGGCAUCUGGAUGAAGCUGAAAGCCUGGGGAAGCUAUGUGUGUUAAGCAUCUUGAGGGCAAGGACCAAGGAUUUGGAAAAUACUUUCUUUGAAUCUUGCAGAGGACAUAGCUAUCCAAGCUACAGGCUUUCAGCCUGACCAGGCAUAUCGUCCCCUCUGAAAAGCGCAUACAUUAUUUCUGCAUUUCAAGACUUACAGAGUCAAACCAGUCCUACUCAAUGAUGCCAAUUGUUUAGAAAUGCAGCAAUGCAAAACAGUCUGGGAAUCGGAUGGAGGGUUGAGAAAAGAGAGUCAGACACGGUGAUCAGCACUAGGGGGCGUUAAGGCAGAAGGUUUGCCAGGAGUUUACCUCUUGGCCUUGGCUUCACAGUAGUGAAUUCCAAGCCAGUUUGGGCUUAGGAACCAAACCUUGUCUCAAAACUA